GGGGAAUAUUGGACAAUGGGCGAAAGCCUGAUCCAGCAAUGCCGCGUGAGUGAAAAAGGCCUUCGGGUUGUAAAGCUCUUUUGUCAGGGAAGAAACGGGUGUGGCUAAUAUCCAUGCCCAAUGACGGUACCUGAAGAAUAAGCACCGGCUAACUACGUGCCAGCAGCCGCGGUAAUACGUAGGGUGCAAGCGUUAAUCGGAAUUACUGGGCGUAAAGCGUGCGCAGGCGGUUUUGUAAGUCUGUCGUGAAAUCCCCGGGCUCAACCUGGGAAUUGCGAUGGAGACUGCAAGGCUAGAAUCUGGCAGAGGGGGGUAGAAUUCCACGUGUAGCAGUGAAAUGCGUAGAGAUGUGGAGGAACACCGAUGGCGAAGGCAGCCCCCUGGGUCAAGAUUGACGCUCAUGCACAAAAGCGUGGGGAGCAAAC
rnacentral:rRNA from 1 species